rnacentral:rRNA from 1 species
AUUGAACGCUGGCGGCAGGCCUAACACAUGCAAGUCGAGCGGUAGCACAGAGAGCUUGCUCUCGGGUGACGAGCGGCGGACGGGUGAGUAAUGUCUGGGAAACUGCCUGAUGGAGGGGGAUAACUACUGGAAACGGUAGCUAAUACCGCAUAAUGUCGCAAGACCAAAGUGGGGGACCUUCGGGCCUCAUGCCAUCAGAUGUGCCCAGAUGGGAUUAGCUAGUAGGUGGGGUAACGGCUCACCUAGGCGACGAUCCCUAGCUGGUCUGAGAGGAUGACCAGCCACACUGGAACUGAGACACGGUCCAGACUCCUACGGGAGGCAGCAGUGGGGAAUAUUGCACAAUGGGCGCAAGCCUGAUGCAGCCAUGCCGCGCGUGUGAAGAAGGCCUUCGGGUUGUAAAGCACUUUCAGCGGGGAGGAAGGCGGUGAGGUUAAUAACCUCAUCGAUUGACGUUACCCGCAGAAGAAGCACCGGCUAACUCCGUGCCAGCAGCCGCGGUAAUACGGAGGGUGCAAGCGUUAAUCGGAAUUACUGGGCGUAAAGCGCACGCAGGCGGUCUGUCAAGUCGGAUGUGAAAUCCCCGGGCUCAACCUGGGAACUGCAUUCGAAACUGGCAGGCUANAGUCUUGUAGAGGGGGGUAGAAUUCCAGGUGUAGCGGUGAAAUGCGUAGAGAUCUGGAGGAAUACCGGUGGCGAANGUGGCCCCCUGGACAAAGACUGACGCUCANGUGCGAAAGCGUGGGGAGCAAACAGGAUUAGAUACCNUGGUAGUCCACGCCGUAAACGAUGUCNAUUUGGAGGUUGUGCCCUUGANGCGUGGCUUCCGGAGCUAACGCGUUAAAUCGACCGCCUGGGGAGUACNGNCGCNNGGUUAAANUCNAAUGAAUUGACGGG